GUGAGGAAUUUUCCGCAAUGGGCGAAAGCCUGACGGAGCAAUGCCGCGUGAAGGAUGAAGGCCUAUGGGUUGUAAACUUCUUUUCUCAGAAAAGAAUUAUGACGGUAUCUGAGGAAUAAGCAUCGGCUAACUCUGUGCCAGCAGCCGCGGUAAGACAGAGGAUGCAAGCGUUAUCCGGAAUGAUUGGGAGUAAAGCGUCUGUAGGUUGUUUAAAAAGUAUUCUGUCAAAGAUUAGGGCUUAACCCUAGAUAGGCAGAAUAAACUUUUAAGCUAGAGUUUGGUAGAGGCAGAGGGAAUUCCCGGUGGAGCGGUGAAAUGCGUAGAUAUCGGGAGGAACACCAAAGGCGAAGGCACUCUGCUGGGCCAAUACUAACACUGAGAGACGAAAGCGAGGGGAGCAAAUGGGAUUAGAUACCCGGGUAGUCC
rnacentral:rRNA from 1 species